UGUUGCAGGUCUUCUGUUCACACCUGGAGCAGCUCCUCCAGUAUCUGUACGCAGCGUCAGAGAAGAUCCAGCUCCUGGCUCAACCAGCUGUGGACAUCGCCAGACUGAAACUAUCUCUGGAUGAGUAUCAGAGGGAAGUGAGAAACCAUCUGCCCCUGACCUCCUGUGUCAUGCACAGUGGACAGCUUCUACUCCGUAGCAUCAACAGCAUGUCUCCAUUUUUAAGAGACACUCUGCAGCUGGUUGCGAGGGAAUCUGAAGCUCUGCAGAGCUACAAUCAGCACUUCUCCACGGACAACCUGGUGCAGCAGAGCAGAGACCAGUCGUCUCUGGGAGUCCAGUGAGCCUGUGUGUCUCAACUUAGCACAAAGACAUGAAAAUGAGACAUAAAGAGACAAAAUGCAAUAGAUAAAAACAUAGACGGGGUUCUAUGGAGCGCUUGAAUUAAAGUGUCUUUCGCUGCUUUUUAAAUGAAUCCUCACAAUUUCAGCAACAUAAGAACAGAGGCGUUCCACUGCCUGAAAGGCUCCACCCCCUCUGACCCUAAAGCUCGUUUCAGCCUCCAACGUGAAGACGUCAGGGUGCAGGCAGGAUUGUUGUGCCCUUAGAUGAGGAGAAUAUGAAUAAUCACAGAAGCAGCACAUGUAGUAUUCAGUACACACACACACACACACACACUCAGGAUCAGUUACCACAAAGAUUCUGUAUCUUUACUAAAUUAUUGAAAUGAUUUUUACAGGACAUUUCAAUAAUAAAAAAAUAAAUGUUUCAACCUUU